rnacentral:misc_RNA from 1 species
ACAAAUCCAUAUGCGUGUGACAGGGCGACCUGUCCGCGAAUAUUAAACCUGCCGGUUCUUUGUGAGCUGGUUGGAAAUAAAUGUAUGUUGUGUUGACAGUGUGUGUGAUUUUUAAUUAUUGA